UAAAUGUGUUGAUGACUUAUCUAAGUUCACCUUUAUGAUAAAGAACUUGUAUUAUUUUGUCUAAAUCAGGUGCUGGCAAACCAUGGCCCAUGGACCAAAUCCAACAAAUACUUUGUUUUUCCUUAGAAUGUCCGGGAGACCCAACCUGCCUUGGAAACCAACUGAUGAGACUGCCUCAUGUCAAUCUUGCUGUGAUUUUAUUCCUUUGAGCUUGCAGAAAAUGACUCUACUGGAAACCGUCACUCCUUUGGAUUAGGACCAAAGCCCCGUGGUAUAAUUGAAGAGGAUAAGGAAGGGGGCCCUUCCUCGGAUAUUUCCCCACUUAAGAGAUGAUUUAUCUCAUCAAACAGGAUGGAUGUAAAAGUCUAUCCAUGCUUUCUCCACCUCACAGCUUUCAUGACUCAUCCUGGACUCACCCUAUGUUCUGUCACGUGAAACAUUUCAAGGUUGUUCCCCUAGCAAUCUUAUUCUUUGCUCUCUCUUGCUGAAGCCUUUCCACAAACUCUCAACUUGGAUCAAUCCUUUUUGCUCUCCUCCAUCUGAGUGUAGGAUUUUCCCAUGAGGACUCCGUAAUUCUUGGUGAUUAAUACAUAGAGAGGUCUUAGAAGUGUUGGGAGGGAGGUGAGAAAGUGUUGUAUGUAGGAAAGACGUGAAUUGUUGUGGUAGGAUGUCUGCAAAUACGGCUGCCAAUUCCUCCCAUAUCUGUGAUCAUAUGCCACUCAGUCCUCGAGUGGGGAGCCUAUUCUCCCUUCCUAUAGAAUCUGGACUGACCCUGUGACUUGCUUUGACCAACCGAAUACAGAGAAGGUAAAGCUGUGUGAUCUCAGAUUUUUAGGUUUUAAGGAACACUGUUGGCCUGUUG